GGGGGGAGCGGGCGAUUAUCGGGCAUCGCCAGUGCCAGUUAAGACGCCUUUAGUCUAGACACAAUCCUUAAAAAAAUAUUUUUGUUUGCACACGCACACCAACAUAUUUGCUCUUUGCCGCUCUCACGCACACAGUCCCAUUUCGUAACGCGACCAGCAACUGUCAAAAAUUUUCAUUUACACGUGUUGAGUGCAUCACCAGCUUCAACAACAAAAGCUCGCGAACGUUCCGGGACGCGUUCCGAAGUUCCCCCGGCCGCGUUUCCCCGGUUUCCUCGAACCAGAAGUCGUCCACCCAACGAUAAAAGUACCCGGGCCCGCGGUGUAAGAAUUCCGGCGCCGAAGACCCCCAGUGAUCCAAUCGAAAUUCCAGCGGUUAACGCCGCGAAAAACCAAUCAGUCAACCAGUUUGAUUUUCCGGGAACCCCGUGCCCGGAACCAUCGUAGAUGACGUGAUCACACUUCUUGAACGCAACGACUCCUACCUGAUUUCCAAGAACGUCCGCCAGGGAACCGUUUUGCCCACCUCAUACAACUGGACGCGGACAAGCUGCAACAGUUCUCGUUGCCCGUGUUGUCGGAAUGGAGCAAGAAUCGGAAACUGAAGGCUGGGGAGCUCAAUUCCGUCUCGCGGGAAGCGGGUUACGCCGGUGAAGAAGACGUCGCUGACGUUUGCCAUUUUCGGCACCAGUAUGAACCGGAUUGGGGUGCAGAAGAUUUGGGGGAGGACCGGAGAAGCAGCAGCUGAGGCGAUGCAAAACGUCAACCGCAACCCGCUGUAAAACGUCUCCCGACGACAAUGACCGCACCGAGGAACCCGCAAACGUGAAACCCCUCAUCAUUUCGUCCUCAAUACCGCGUCCGCCCAACAAAGUGAAUCUCCUCUUCGAGUGUGUCAUGCAGCAACGUCCCCUCAAUUCGACGUCCCAGACCGUACCAAGCUGCCCAACGUGCCCCUCGGGUUCUCCUCCCUGGGAGCGUCCUCGCCGUGGCGAGUUCGCGACGAGUUCAAAACGAAGCGUGUGGUUCCCGUUCCUUCCUAACUGGGCUCACGAAUAACCCAAAUCCGGUCAUCAACAGUCAAGUGAAACAAAAAAAAAA